rnacentral:rRNA from 1 species
AUUCCCUACGGGGCGCAGCAGUAGGGAAUCUUCCACAAUGGACGAAAGUCUGACGGAGCAACGCCGCGUGAGUGAAGAAGGGUUUCGGCUCGUAAAGCUCUGUUGGGAGUGAAGAAAGAUAGAGGUAGUAACUGGCCUUUAUUUGACGGUAAUUACUUAGGAAGUCACGGCUAACUACGUGCCAGCAGCCGCGGUAAUACGUAGGGGGGGAGCGUUGUCCGGAUUUAUUGGGCGUAAAGCGAGUG